UGACAUCAUUCCCUUUCAGUGUUUCCUAUGUUUUUUUUUUUUUUUUAAAGACAGGGUCUCGCCAUAUGGCCCAGGCUGGUCUUGAACUCCUGGGCUCAAGUGAUCCUCCUGUGUCCCGAAUUGGUGGGUUCCUGGUCUCACUGACUUCAAGAAUGAAACUGCGGACCCUCGCGGUGAGUGUUACAGCUCUUAAGGUGGCGCGUCUGGAGUUUGUUCCUUCUGAUGUUCGGAUGUGUUCGGAGUUUUUUCCUUCUGGUGGGUUCGUGGUGUCGCUGGCUCAGAAGUGAAGCUGCAGACCUUGGUGGUGAGUGUUACAGCUCUUAAGGCGGCGCAUCUGGAGUUGUUUGUUCCUCCCAGUGGGCUCGUGGUCUCACUGGCUUCAGGAGUGAAGCUACAGACCUUCGCGGUGAGUAUCACAGCUCAUAAAAGCAGUGUGGACCCAAAGAAUGACCAGUAGCAAGAUUUAUUGCAAAGAGCAAAAGAACAAAGCCGCCACGUCGUGGAAAGGGACCCCAGCCAGCUGCCACUGCUAGUUCGGGCAGCCUGCUUUUAUUCUCUUAUCUGGCUGAGGUCAGGAGUUCGAGACCGGUCUGGCCAACAUGGCGAAACCCCGUGUCUACUAAAAAUACAAAAAUUCGCCGGGCAUGGUGGGUGAGCACCUGUAGUCCCAGCUGCUUGGGAGGCUGAGGCAGGAGAAUUGCUUGAACCCGGGAGUCAGAGGUUGCCGUGAGCUGAGAUCACGCCAUUGUACUCCAGCCUGGGUGACAGAGCAAGACUUGGUCUCAAAAAAAAAAAAAAAAAAGAAAAGAAAAAAAGAAAAGAAAACAAACAAAAAAAAGAAAUCCGAGAGUCAUCCUUCACUCCUCCCUCUUCCUUACUCCCAUAGCAGACCUCUUGGAAUAUCCUGGAAGUUCUAAGCCUGUCACUUCUCAGUCCCCACAGAAGUCACACUCUCCCAAGCCACCAUCAUCUCUGGCUUGAAUUACUGCUGCAGGAGCCUUCCAAGUCUGGCUCCUACAAUUAAUUCAUGAUCCACCCAACAAGCACAGAACGUCAAGUCACUCCUCUCUUAAAAUCCCCCAUAGCUUCCCGUUUUCCCUUAGGAAGAGUCUAAAACCCUUAACUUUUUCUAGAAGGUUCCUCCAGGAGGUCUCUACUUGCUGUCUCAGCCUCGGACUCUCUGUGCUUCUUCAGCGUCCUGUGCUGGCACUCAAUUACUUUAGGGGUUUCAUGACACGGUUCUCUCCCUCCCACUCCUUUUCAUCCUUAGGGUCUUAGCUUGCUCCCCGAGGCCUCCCCACCCAGUAGUUCUCAGUCCCCGUGUGCCCACAGCGCCCUCUACUGCCCCUUCCCAAACACGCAGCAUGGGUGUGUUUGCCCAGCGCCUCUCUGCACACCCAGACUUCAAGCUGCAAGAUGGCAAGCACUGCCUCCUCCACUGCUAAGUACCUGGCAAAGCAAUUGUAGUCAGUAAAUUUUUUUUCCCAUUUUUUUUAAUUUUUUUUUUUUUUUUUUAGGUAAAGAAAGGCAUUUAUUAGGUCUGGGCAUGGUGGCUCAUACCUGUAAUCCCAGCACUUUGGGAGGCCAAGGCCAGUGGAUCACUUGAGGUCAGGUGUUCAAGACCAGCCUGGCCAACAUGGUGAAACCCCAUCUCCACUAAAAAUACAAAAAUUAGCUAGGGGUGGUGGUGCAUGGCUGUAAUCCUAGCUUCUCUGGAGGCUGAGGAGGGAGAAUCGCGUGAACCCAGGAGGCAGAGGCUGUAGUGAGCCGAGAUCGCGCCACUGCAUUCCAGCCUGGGCGAUGGAGGGAGACU
rnacentral:lncRNA from 1 species